rnacentral:lncRNA from 1 species
CUAAGUCCAAGCUCCCGUGUGUGUGUGUGUGUGUGUGUGUGUGUGUGUGUGUGUGUGUGUGUGUGUGUGUGUGUGUGUGUGUGUGUGUGUUUGUGUGUGUGUGUGUGUGUGUGUGUGUGUGUGUGUGUGUGUGUGUGUGUGUGUGUGUGUGUGUGUGUUAAAAAACGAAACGAAAGCCCGCCCAACGGCGCGACGGAGUUACUUACCGAUACCUACCAUUUUACCAAGCGUUGCGUGACUGUCGUGACCCAGGUAGUCAUACUUACCCGCGAUAAGCCUGGAACCCCACGGGCGACCAUUCGGCCUGACCCCGCGAUGCACCUGUAUGCGUCCAUGCUCCGCACCCUGUGUGUGUGUGUGUGUGUGUGUGUGUGUGUGUGUGUGUGUGUGUGUGUGUGUGUGUGUGUGUGUGUGUGUGUGUGUGUGUGUGUUAAACAAAGAAUCAAACGGAACAAAAUUCCGCCAUACACGCGCGCGCAGUUACCAACAAAUACCGACGCCGGUUACCGAGCUCCGCGUUUGUCGAUGUUGCCCCAGUUGUCACCUUGAGUGUGUGUGUGUGUGUGUGUGUGUGUGUGUGUGUGUGUGUGUGUGUGUGUGUGUGUGUGUGUGUGUGUGUGUGUGUGUGCGUGUGGAUCUCUCUGUGUUUGUCAGGAAAGCACAAUGGGACACACGCACCGCGCACACCACCGAUACGCACCGCGUGCUCUCGAAGGGGAUAUAGUUAACGUGAUGAUCCCCGGUACAGCUGCACUGUCCAGCAGCCCUGAACUGUGGCUUUGUAUGCAAACGGCCCCAAACGGAACUUACCGCUGGUUAGCUCACCAGUUUGCUCACAGUUCUCUGUGGCCCCUCUUUUGUUUCACCCAUGCGCAGGAGAUCCUGACGGAACGCGGCCUCAGCACCACCGACUGCUUUGAGAAAGGCGACCUCGCGAAGAAGGUUCACGCGCAGUGCUCCAGCGUCACCUACUACAAGUGAUGCAGCGUCAGCAUCUACAAGUAAUUUAGCAAGGCUGAAAGGGGUAACAGGUUGGAAGGGUUGCGCCGCUCCGGCGGUGGCCUGCGGCAGCCUGUGACCUGUUGGAUGCAUUCAUGGGCUAGCUUGGGCAAGCAUGGGGCUCGUGCAUUGUGCUGCACUGGCGAGGGUCGCCAGGCGUGUCGUGCAGGAGACGUCGACUGUCGCACAGCAGACCGAGUGGCGGUAUUGUCGGGCCGGACGUGUUGAAGGCUUUAAGGAUGUUGGCAUUUUGCAGGUGCGUGAGAGAGUGCGGUGAGUUGCCGACGGGAGUAUGGCGGGCCUGGACUGGGCAGGCCAAUGUGUACAUAGGCAAGGCUGGAACGCAGGUACAGCGCGGUAGGGUGGGGAGGGGGAGUGAGGAGACGAAACGGCAGCAACGUGGAGCGGGAUUUUGAGCGGGGAGUUCUGCACCCAGGGGUGCGCGAGGGAAGACCUGGGGCACAGCACGCGGUAAAGCAUGAAUUGUAAUGACUGGAGGCUGAACGUGCAGAUCGGUGAGCAGGCACGGUGAGCAGGGAACUAGGAGGUUCCAUGGCCAAAUGAAGACGACGUGAAAGCACGGCCGAAAGAGCCCCCACACUCUUGCCCACACUGGCACAGACGGGUGUUAGUUGGUCAAGCCGGAAAGUCUUCGCCAGGACUUGACCGCACGUGUGGAUGUAGGGAGCGUGCACUUUAGCAUGCAGCGCGGUGGCUGCGUCUGUUGCCGGCAGUUUUGCUGAAUCCAUCUUUCUGGAUGUCACAGCUUCCGUGUUGUGGGCUUGCGGAACACUUAUUUCUCCACAUGCAAUAUCAGAACGCAGAAUGACGUAUCAGAGAAGCCCAACGUUGGGGUGGUCCGUAUGAAGACGUCCUUUCGCGAUUACGCCCCCAAAUAGCAGAUCGAUGAGCUAUCCAACCAAUAUAUCGCGGCCGCUUCGUGUCGUUGCGGCGCACAGGCCCCCGUUUGUGUUUCUGGACGAAAACGACACAAAGGCCGGUUUCGUGACUGGAAUGUUGGUGGAGCUGCUGCGCAAGAUGCUAGAGGUAACGAUUAUGAAGGACAAGCACUAGGUUGGGACUUUCGUCGUCGAUGGCGCGCGUCCCGAAGCCCGCGUUCCUGGGCUGCCUGGGCGAAGCCAUAAAGCGCGCUGGGGCCGCCCCAGUGCCCGGUGCGGCUCGGAAGGCCCAGCGCUCCGUUUCCCUUGCUAACAGCGAACACGCGAAUGCAAAUACAUACCAGCCAAUCGCACAUGAAUAGGGGGCCUCGCACGUGUGCCGUGCCCGUGUGUUCCAUGCAGAACACACCCGAGCUGGCCGGCGCGACGUGGGACUAUUUUAAGGCGCCGAGCAACACGGGCGGCUACCUGCAGCCAGACGGCAAAUGGAAUGGUGAGCGCUAUGAGGGGAAAGCCUUUAGGGCAGACUUUAGCUGUGCACGAGUCACGAUGAGUCCGCAAUGGCAGGCCCUCUGGCGGCUCUGUUGCGCUGCAGUCGGUCCGUCACGGUCCGUCGCCCCAGCGGGCCCGUUCACACCAGCGGGGCACGUGUAUGUGCGCGUGGGUAGCAGUAUAUGUGCAGCAAUGUAUGCUACAAUAAGCUAGCCCUCACCAGGUCUAUUGCGUGCCCUGCUGCGCGCCCGAAACCACACACACACACACACACACACACACACACAGACACACACACACACACACACACACACACACACACACACACACACACACACACACACACACACACACACACACACACACACACACACACACACACACACACACACACACACACACACACACACACACACACACACACACACACACACACACACAUACACACACACACACAGGCAUGAUGGGGCAGCUGGUGGACCAGAGGGCGGACAUUGCGCUGUUCCCGCUGACAAGGUACGACACACGGGGGGGCGGUAUGGGGCGGCGGUACGCGGCGGUACGGGCAGCCUCCCGAAUGGGCGGGGAGCAGGCCGGCGGGAGGCGGGGGCAGCGGGUAUUUCGUGUCCAAGCCCCGCGGACCGCCACACAGCUGCCAGCUUUAUUUGGGGGCCACGCCUCGUGUGUCUUUCGCAUUCUUGUGUUCUGCAUGAGUUGGCUGUUCAUGAGCGGCAACGAACCCAUCCCAUCUCAUCCCAUCCGCUGGCUUGCUUUGGGACUUUGGGUUUUGGAAUGAAUUGCCUAUCCCCCUCCCACCACAAACCACACGUACCCAACCCCAAGGACUUUGACGCGCUACCAAGCAGUGGACUGCACCCUCACAUACAUGGUGCGUGUGGGGCGUGGGGCGUGGGGCGGGCGUGCGCUUUUGCGUGUGGGGCGUGUGGGGCGUGUGUGCGCUUUCGCGUGUGGGGCGUGUGUGCGCUUUUGUGUGUGGGGCGUGUGGGGCUGUCCACUCCAAGCCUCGGAGGAAGGGGGGUCGCCUUGCUGUUACUUCUGCUCCCUUAUUACUUGUCCAAGAACCCCACGUGUGUUGUAUACGGUGUUGUUUCAGCAUCACCUGUUGCUUGUGUGUGGCUGCCCUGCCGUACUCGCGAAUGCAGGACAGCGGGAUUAGCGUGGUGAUCAUGUGAGUCGCUGCUGCCACGGAGGCGGCGGGGAGGGGGCCGCCGGGAGGGGGCGGGUCGAUGCUGCUGCUCAAGAGCGGCGGUGCCUUGGCAAGCGCCCCGCAGCGAUGCGCGUGCUGCCGACACCACUGGCUACACAAGCCACCGCCGCCAACAUCCCCUGCCAACCCCCAUUCCGUACUUGUGAUGUAAUCACCACUCGGUUCGUUACAUCCCCUGCCACCCCCACCGCCCUGUAUGUCUGGUCCCUAGCGACGCAUGCAACCACACGCCGCCGCCACACCUUGCUGCCACCCCACCGCUGCCACCCCCCACCGCUGCCCCCCCCCCUCACCGCCACCACCACCACCACGUGUGACAGUGCCGGCAAGGUCACCACCGGGGCGCUGUCGGUGCUCGCGCCCUACACCUGGACCCUGUGGAUUGUCAUCCUGUGCACCGUGGUCGGCAUAGCGCUGGUGUUCUGGUGCGUGCGACUGAUGACUGAUGGCUAAUGAUGAUGACUGUGAUGAUGACUAAUAGUCAGGCGACUGAUGACUGAUGACUACUGAUGACUGCCAUAUAUAAGAGUCUGGCGACUGAUAAAUGAUAUGCUGGCUGGCGCGGGCCGGAUCGGCGGGAGUUCAGCCAUCCACCCAGCUAGGCUCCCACUCACAGUGGGGUCGGUUACACGACCAAGUGGGCGGAGUCCGCCCCACACCUGGACACUAGGGCCAGCACCGCCUACAUGACGCACCCCGGCGCUGGGCACAGCCUCCGACGCUUCAUCCAGAAUGCCAGGCAGGGAGGCCUCAUCUGCCCCGCCCGGCUUGCGCUGUUCAAACUACGUGCGAGUGACACAUGUGCACUCUGCGCCCCGAUUCACCAGCGCGCUGGAUCCCCCCCCGAACGGGGCAACGCAGGCCACCUUGCCGGCCACUGUGCGCACCCCCAACUUGUUGGGGCCCGCAUCGCCAAACACAAUGCCGCCGUCCGUAUGAUCGCGGAAUGCCUGCACCAUGGCGCCAACGGUGGCGGGUACAUGUUGAUGGACGCAAGCAGUGCAGAUGCACACCCCGAAUACUGUGCGGGCACCUGCCCCCCCAAAUGGAUGCUGCGCAACAAUAUCCCCAAGGCCGACCGAAAAAGGAUGAGGCCUGACAUCCUGUUCAUCCCAUCCCUACCACGCUCCGACGUGGGGGCUAGUGGGCCCCGCGGCCUUACAACCGCCGGCCGACGGCAACACAAAGUUUACCUGAUAGAAGUUGGUUACACAUCAGACCUCCACCACAGCGAAAAGUGUGACCAGAAACAAGCCCAGCACACUCGCCUAGCCGACGCCCUGCGGGAUGCAGGCUGGGACGUAGUAUAUAAAAAGGAGCAGAUUGUGACGCUGGGCCACGGCGGCACUGUGUCAAACACCUUGGAACCCCUUCUCCGGUCGCUGGGUGCCACCACCACAUCAGCAAAAUCCUGCUGCUCGCGCAUACACAUGCACAGUGUCAUCAGCCUGCGCACCACAUCCCUUCUCUACUACCGCCUUGAGCGCGAAAUGGGGAUUGUGAACUCACGCCACGUCGGUCCCACUGGCGGCGCCACGGCUGCUGGCCCCAGCCCUCGCGAUCCAGGCUAACUUCCCACCUUUUGACACGGUGGGGUGAGCAAAACUCACUCCUCCUUAAGAAACGCGGCCUCCUUCGUGAACCGCGUACAUAUUAUUAUUAUUAUUAUUCCUGGUUCAAUUUGGGCUGGUAUCCAAGACCACCCAUGUAUCCAUCCAUCCACUCAUCCAUCUUGUGGUUUGCCUAUAGCUCUUACUGCACGCAAUCGCAUGCAUGGAAGUGGGCCGCCACCCACUCACCCUUCCCUACCUCCCCUCUGUCAUCCACACGAACAGGACGCUGGACGUGUACGGGCAGUGGGUACGCAGCACGCGCAUCACCAAGCUGCAAAAGGCCGGCACGCUGCCCGUGCCCCACCGCAGCGGCGACGGCGGCGGCGGCGGCGGGCCGGCACACGUGGGCCGACGCAAUAAGGUGGCGAAGGACAGCCGCAGUACAGUGUUGAUCAGCUUCAUUGCAGCGGCUGGGGCGCCGGAGCGGCCGGAGCGCAGCGGCUGGGGGGUUCAGGUGCUGUAUGUGGUUUACUGCUUCUUCUGGUGAGCUCUGGGCGGGCUGGGGGGCGUGGGGUGGCGGGCGGGGUGGCGGGCGUGGGUGGCGGGGUGGGUGGCGGGGUGGGUGGCGGGCUGGGUGUUCAUUCCAGGGGCGCCGGGGAUGGGGGAGUGAAUGGCGUAUCCGUGUGUAACUGCUGCAUGCCGGGGAUCGGUCGAACUGCUGCCGUGCAAGUGUUGACACCCCGCGCCUACCUCUUCCGCAUCAAUUCCUGAUUUGCUCUCCCCAAUCCUCUCCGCCCACCCCACCCCACCCCCCUACCUCCGCCCGCAGCUUCAUCCUGCUGUCCGCCUACACAGCCAACCUGACGUCCUUCCUGUCCGUGCAGCGCGCGGCAGUGGCCAUUGGGGGGCUGGAGGUGGGUGCUGCUGCGGUGCAUCUGCUGGGGCACCGUGUCUGCAGUAGGUGUGUGUGUGUGUGUGUGUGUGUGUGCGUGUGCGUGUGCGUGUGCGUGUGCGUGUGCGUGUGCGUGUGCGUGUGCGUGUGCGUGUGCGUGUGCGUGUGCGUGUGUGUGAUGGGACAGGGUUCAGGCAGGUUGGCGAGGUCCCAUAGGGUGCCGCUGCGUGUGCGUGUGCGUGUGCGUGUGUGCGUGUGCGUGUGUGUGUGUGUGUGUGUGUGUGUGUGUGUGUGUGUGUAUGUGUGUAUGUGUGUAUAUGUGUGUAUGUGUGUAUGUGGGGGGAGGGUCAUGAUGCCAGGGGGUUGAUGCGAAUGGAUAGGCCGGUCAAACCCUGCAACUAACCGGCUGACUGCCGCUGCCGCUAGGGCAACUACCCCUUCGUACACGUCGUGGUGCUCACGUGUUUGCCGCGCAACGAUUGCGUGUGCGUGUGUGUGCGUGUGUCCUGUCAGGACAUCGCACGUGACCAGGGCCGCCUGGCGGUUAACCCCAACGGCUCAACCGCUUCAUACUUUUACCGCUCAUCGGAUCCAGUGGCCAUGCAGAUCUCACCAAAGUGAGUGAGGCAGUUAAUAGUUGGCAGUUGGCAUCCACCUCUGCAUAGUCUGCAGUCGGUUGGCGGUUGCACGGUCGGGGCGCAGAUGUGCAGUCGCAUGCCAGGAAUCUCUGGGCUGAUGGUUUCUGGUUCUGCGUCUCCAUGAUCUCGGCGUUAGUUGAAACCCAAUAAUCACAAUACCCCUGCCCCCUCCCAUGCCCACUGAUCUGCUGCAACUAACGACCUGACAACAUCAUCUCGUUUUGAUUGAGGAUGCGAUGAACCCCCACCCCUGCCCCCUGCUAUCCUACUGUUCCUGGCUGCGCCUUCACUUCCUAAAUAAUCAUGCACGCAACCCCCUCCCCAUGCCCCUGCCCCGUGCCCCGAUUGAUCAUGCAUGGAACCCCCACCCCCACCCCUGCCCCUGCCCCGUGCCCCUGCCCCGUGCCCCGUGCCCCUGCCCCGUGCCCCCGCCCUGCUCCCCACACUACAGUCUGGUGUACUGUGACACGCCCAAGUGUCUGGAGCUGCUGCGGGCCGGCGAGGUGCAGGUGCGUGCGUGUGUGAUAUAGGUAGAGAGCGCCUCUGUGCAGAUACACACACAAACACACUCAUUCACCACCUAUCUCGUGUUUUCUGACACACACACGCACACACACACACACACACACACACACACACACACACACACACACACACACACACACACACACACACACACACACCACAAUCGCUCUCUCGACAGUACCAUAACCACGCACGCCAUGAUUGAGUAUCACGCAAAUUGCUGCACCCCGUUGCUCUCCACCUUCACACGUCGAUUUCUUUAUUUGCUUCGUUGUUUCAGGGUUUCGCCACUGACAAGCCUCUACUGGAUUACAUCGCGGGACAACAGCCCUGCGACCUCGCACUGGUCGGAGAACCGUUCGGACCCAGUGAGCUCCGUAUGGCAGCGGUGUGUGAUGUGUGUGUGCUAAGAAAACAACAAAACGAAGCCCGCCCAGACGACGGCGUCGGAGUUACUUACGGAUACCUACCAAUACCGUGUGUGCGUAUGUGUGUGUGUGUGUGGUGUGUGUGUGUGUGUGUGUGUGUGUGUGUGUGUGUGUGUGUGUGUGUGUGUGUGUGUGUGUGUGUGUGUGUGUGUGUGUGUGUGUGUGUGUGUGUGUGUGUGUGUGUGUGUGUGUGUGUGUGUUAAAAAACGAAACGAAAGCCCGCCCAAUGACGCGACGGAGUUACUUACCGAUACCCACCAUUUUACCGAGCGUCGCGUGACUGUCGUGACCCAGGUAGUCAUACUUACCCGCGAUAAGCCUGGAACCCCACGGGCGACCAUUCGGCCUGACCCCGCGAUGCAC